AAGUCGUAACAAGGUUUCCGUAGGUGAACCUGCGGAAGGAUCAUUAAUGAAUUAAACGAUGGAGUUGUUGCUGGCCUUUCUCAAGGCAUGUGCACACUUUGUCAAUUCAUCCACACACCUUUGUGCACUCUUCAUAGGCUGGCUCAUAAAAACAGAGGGGUUUAUUCACCUCUGGAGCCUUUCUAUGCUCUUUAAUCACAAACAUCAGUCAGUCUCAGAAUGUCUUACUUGCGAUUAACGCAUUUAAAUACAACUUUCAACAACGGAUCUCUUGGCUCUC
rnacentral:misc_RNA from 1 species